UUUUAAUUCCUUCAGUUUUAAGGGUGGGCAGUUUGGGCUGGUGGCAGGUUGGGCAGUUGUGAGUGUCUGUGUGAUGGCGAGGAAAGCGGAAGUUACGAAUGGAAUGCAGGUAGCUUAGGACCGAGGCAGACAGCUUAGGACUGAGGCAGACAGCUUAGGACUGAGGCAGGUAGGCAGUUGGUAGGAAUCAGUGGGGGGCACUUGUCAUUUCGGCCAUGGGAUUCAAAAUUUGCAUGUCGAGUAUUUGUUACUAAUGCUUGUUGAUUUACAUUUGCUAGGUAUGCGCGUGGCUGCUCUCAAGAGAAGAUCGACUUAGCAAUUUGCAUUACUUUGCAUUUGCAAGGUUGGUCUUCUCUUCGCCCCGCUACCCCGGCUGGCUCUCCGAGUGCUACCUCUACUUUAAGUAGAAGUACUUUUACUAUAUAGUAGAAGUACUUCUGCUUGAAGUAGAGGUGGCACUUGGGGAGCCGGCCGGGGUAGGGGAAUUUUUUUUAUUUUUUUUUCAAUUCCCAUGGGAAUUGAAUUUUUAAUUAAAAAGGAGUCUCUUGUAUAAUUAAUGAACAAUUUAUUGAAAAGAAUUGUAAUUACAAAUUGAAUAACAAUAAAGAGAGAACAACCACUGCACACUUAUUUAAAUAACAAUAGAAGAAAACAGAACAUGGCACAAAGAGAACAAUUAACAUUGUGUUCAACACAAGUGAAUAAGCACAAGUGAAAACACAACAUUAAAAGACUUGUUUGCCCGCGAAUUAACAAAAAAGUUAAUUCUUGAGGAAACAAGAGAACCUGGUCUUUUAAAGAUAAAUGUUUAUACUUCAAAAUAAAUAUUGUAAAACAACUCUAGUGAUAAAUUUUACGAGUUUGACGGAGAAAUCGAAAGAGUAACACCAGGUUGUUUUACAAAGAAAAUAUAUGGCUCAAAGACAAAGUAAAUCGAACAUGCUUUUACUUUUUUGAAUACAACUAACUGUUUUUGGUAAACUGACCCAAAAUUUUCGCUUGAGUAUGGAAAAUAAUGAUUUUAUCGCGAUGUUUAGAUGCGAAGUGAAGUCCAUUCGUUGUAAUCGGACUGGGAGAUCAGUUGUCAAGUGAUUGUCGUCGACAACAGGAAGACAUUGUCGUCGACAACAAAUUCCUUUGCAUGAAGCAAAGUCAUUUUUUAGUCGAAAAGCCACCUUAAGUAUUGUUGACAUUUAUUGUCGCUAUUUGACAUGCCGACAACGGCAUGCAUGCGUCUUCCGGUGUGCGGAAGUACUCAUACUCACAGAUACUGCAUGUAAGAUACAGCCAAACGAAUCUCCGUGGAGUCCCCACUUAAGGUGGCUUUUCGACUAAAUAAUGACUGUAGGGCCCCUUUAAAAAUUUGACAAUGCAUUGACAGCAUACUUCAUUAACUCAGAAAUGAUAUGUUUUAAACAUCGAAGCAUUACGACUAGAUCAUUGGUUCCAUACUCAAUUGAACAUAUAUAAGAACAUUUCUUUCAAGUGCCAAAUCAAGAAUUUAAGAAUUUUAAAUUAUCCUGGUCUUUCGGAGCCAUAUAUCUUUGAGCGUCGUUUUUAACCUGACAACUUUGAAUUGAUUAUAUAUAAUGUUAAUACUAAUUCAAGUGAUGAAAAUGC
rnacentral:lncRNA from 1 species